GAUGAACGCUGGCGGCGUGCCUAAUACAUGCAAGUCGAGCGAACAGAUGAGGAGCUUGCUCCUCUGACGUUAGCGGCGGACGGGCGAGUAACACGUGGAUAACCUACCUAUAAGACUGGGAUAACUUCGGGAAACCGGAGCUAAUACCGGAUAAUAUAUUGAACCGCAUGGUUCAAUAGUGAAAGACGGUUUUGCUGUCACUUAUAGAUGGAUCCGCGCCGCAUUAGCUAGUUGGUAAGGUAACGGCUUACCAAGGCAACGAUGCGUAGCCGACCUGAGAGGGCGAUCGGCCACACUGGAACUGAGACACGGUCCAGACUCCUACGGGAGGCAGCAGUAGGGAAUCUUCCGCAAUGGGCGAAAGCCUGACGGAGCAACGCCGCGUGAGUGAUGAAGGUCUUCGGAUCGUAAAACUCUGUUAUUAGGGAAGAACAAAUGUGUAAGUAACUAUGCACGUCUUGACGGUACCUAAUCAGAAAGCCACGGCUAACUACGUG
rnacentral:rRNA from 1 species